GGGUCCGUAACGGUUUCGACAGGUUGGCGAAAGCUACUCUGUGAUUCAGGUCGAGAGUGAGUCGUCUCUCGCAAAUCAAAGACUCAAACAAAUGUAAAUGCGAACAACAUCGUAAAAUUUGAGCGUGUAGCAGUAGCUGCUUAAUCUAAACCUCUCAAAGGUACGCUCGCUUCUAGUUUGACUCCGUUAAGGAUUAGAGGCAAACCCCAACGGAUGCGUGAGUAAGUUCCCUCUGGUGGACUUAUUAGCAAAGACUUUACCAGAGCAUCCUACCGUUCGGGAUAAUGAACGUUCCCCGUCUUGAGGGUUAGAUAGACUAAACCUGUGAACGAACGGGGUGUUAAUACCCAAUUUGGACAGCAGUUCGACUCUGCUCGGAUCCACUA
rnacentral:tmRNA from 1 species